rnacentral:rRNA from 1 species
CCUACGGGAGGCAGCAGUGGGGAAUCUUGCGCAAUGGGCGAAAGCCUGACGCAGCCAUGCCGCGUGUAUGAUGAAGGUCUUAGGAUUGUAAAAUACUUUCACCGGUGAAGAUAAUGACUGUAGCCGGAGAAGAAGCCCCGGCUAACUUCGUGCCAGCAGCCGCGGUAAUACGAAGGGGGCUAGCGUUGCUCGGAAUUACUGGGCGUAAAGGGAGCGUAGGCGGACAUUUAAGUCAGAGGUGAAAUCCCGGAGCUUAACUUCGGAACUGCCUUUGAUACUGGGUGUCUUGAGUGUGAGAGAGGUAUGUGGAACUCCGAGUGUAGAGGUGAAAUUCGUAGAUAUUCGGAAGAACACCAGUGGCGAAGGCGGCAUACUGGCUCAUUACUGACGCUGAGGCUCGAAAGCGUGGGGAGCAAACAGGAUUAGAUACCCUGGUAGUCCACGACCGUAACGAUGAUGUCUAGUUGUCGGUAGCUGUCUCUCGUGCGCNGCUACGCAUAGACAUCCGCCGUGGGAGGUACGGUCGCGAGAGUUAAACUACAAGUUAGUUAGUAGNGUUGNGNGNGCGACGACGACGACGACGGAGGAGGAG